rnacentral:rRNA from 1 species
GCCCUGAAAAUGGAUGGCGCUCUAGCGUCGUGCCUAUACCGGGCCGUCAACGGCACAGUAGGUUUCUGUCCAUUGGUCAGAGCCGUUAAACCUUGACGAGUAGGAGGGUCGCGGCGGUGUGCGCAGAAGGGUCAGGGCGUGAGCCCGCCUGGAGCCACCGUCGGCGCAGAUCUUGGUGGUAGUAGCAAAUACUCUAGCGAGGGCCUGGAGGACUGACGUGGAGAAGGGUUUCUUGUGAACAGCCGUUGCACAAGAGUCAGUCGACCCUAAGCUCUAGGAGAAAUCCGAUGGCGAUGGGUGGCUUAACAACGUAUCUAACCACGUUGUGUGUCUCUUCUGAUGCCCCUGUGGACAAAAGGGAGUCCGGUUCCUAUUCCGGAACCCGGCAGCGUAACCGCUCUCUGCGGGCACUCGCCUGCGAGCGCUCGGCGGGGUAACCCAAACUGGCCCGGAGACGCCGGCGGGUGGUCUGGAAAGAGUUUUCUUUUCUUUGUAAGCGUUCGAGUACCCUGGAAUCCUAUAGCAGGGAGAUAGGGUUUGGAACGCGAAGAGCACCGCAGUUGCGGCGGUGUCCGGACCUUCCCCCCGGCCCAUGAAAAUCUGGGUGAGGGCUACGCGGAAAUCGCGCCGGAUCGUACCCAUAUCCGCAGCAGGUCUCCAAGGUUAAGAGCCUCUAGUCGAUAGAAUAAUGUAGGUAAGGGAAGUCGGC